rnacentral:rRNA from 1 species
GUAGUCCACGCCCUAAACGAUGGAUACUAGGCGUGAGAGGUAUCGACCCCUCUCGUGCCGCAGCUAACGCACUAAGUAUCCCGCCUGGGGAGUACGGCCGCAAGGUUGAAACUCAAAUGAAUUGACGGGGACCCGCACAAGCGGUGGAGCAUGUGGAUUAAUUCGAUACUAACCGAAGAACCUUACCCAGACUUGACAUCGAUGGUAAGACGCUGAAAGGCGUCCCUCCCUCUCAAGGGGACCAGAAGACACUUGUUGCAUGGCUGUCGUCAGCUCGUGCCGUGAGGUGUACGGUUAAGUCCGCCAACGAGCGCAACCCUCGUCCUGUGUUACCAGCACUAAAGGUGGGAACUCACAGGAGACCGCCGGUGUAAGCCGGA